AAUGAACGCUGGCGGCAUGCCUAACACAUGCAAGUCGAACGAAGGUUUCGGCCUUAGUGGCGCACGGGUGCGUAACGCGUGGGAAUCUGCCCUUGGGUUCGGAAUAACAGUUAGAAAUGACUGCUAAUACCGGAUGAUGUCGUAAGACCAAAGAUUUAUCGCCCAAGGAUGAGCCCGCGUAGGAUUAGCUAGUUGGUGGGGUAAAGGCCUACCAAGGCGACGAUCCUUAGCUGGUCUGAGAGGAUGAUCAGCCACACUGGGACUGAGACACGGCCCAGACUCCUACGGGAGGCAGCAGUGGGGAAUAUUGGACAAUGGGCGAAAGCCUGAUCCAGCAAUGCCGCGUGAGUGAUGAAGGCCUUAGGGUUGUAAAGCUCUUUUACCCGGGAUGAUAAUGACAGUACCGGGAGAAUAAGCUCCGGCUAACUUCGUG
rnacentral:rRNA from 1 species